CGAUUAUCCAUCUACGUCUACAAUGGUGAUUUGGUCAUUUUUAACAUUUUUGCAAGGGUGUAAUGGAAUGAGAACCACAGUGAGAUGAAGAAUUGCAGUCAAAAGGCUGACAGUUAUUGGCUGCACAACAGGAGGAUGAGGAGAGGAAGACGGGGUGGUUCUUGAAGAGAGGAGGAGGAGGAGGAGGAGGACUGCAGGGUUUCUGCUCAGUGAGCUGGAACCUUCUCACGCCUCUGGCCAGUGCUCAGAGACUAAGAGGAGGAGGAGGAGGAGGAGGAGGAGGAGGAGGAGGCAAGACAAAAGGAAGAAGUUAUAAAGGAAACCAAAAACCACAGAGAAAAUUAGAGAGCAAAAGAUGAACAGUUUGGAGGAGGAAGUGCAAGACGAGCGGCAACAUAGAUGUACUGCGAAUGACACACUCGAAGUGGGAGAGAGAUGCACACACACGUGUUUCCGGGAAGCGUUGCAAGAUUUUUUCCUCUUUGUGUGGUGUGUGUGUUGUGUUUGUGUUGAUAUUUGUUUGUGUGUCUCACCAGAUGGGAAUGACUGCAGGGCAGAGUGAGGGCAUAUGGUGAUGUGGCAUGACUCUGGCCCUGAUGUUCACACGUCAAAACUGUGAUUUACGACUUCGAGGUCUGGAGACACAGCCCCCAGAAAUCUUCUAUGAAAGCCAUUUUGUGUGUGUCGAAGCAGGGGACACUUUCAUGCGUGUGUUGCCUCAUUUGCACACAGAAACAAAAAACACGAUUCGUUGUCGGAUUUCUUCAUUUCAUCCCCACAUUUGUAUAACAUUAAAGCUUCUGUAACGUCAAGUAAUAACGUAGGUUUGUGGGGCUGUAAUGUGUCAGAGGAGUCACGAGGUCAGUGGUCACGUGGAGGAGUCUCUAAUCUGCCUGCAAAAGGAAAAUGUGUGUAAGGGUGUUUGUGUGUUUAUGUGCGUGUGUGUGUUUGUUGGACACUAAUUGGACGACAGACUGACAGUCAGAUUGAUUGAAAAGAGAGAGAGAGAGGAGAGUGGAGAGUCAAUGAACGGGAGACACAGAGGAAGAAAUGUUUCUUAAUUGCGGAGGCACAUGUCUGAUGGUGUGAAAGUGUGUCUAAUAUGUUUGCCUAAUGAAAAUGUGUGUAUUGCUGCACGAGAGAGAGAGCGUGAAAGAGAGAGAGAGAGAGAGAGUGUGAAAUAAAUCCAAUAAGCUGCUCCGUCAUGCUCCCCUCUUGAGCGUUUUUAAGAUCCACUGAAUGAAAUAAAUAAGAGAUUCUUCCGCUUUUGUCAGUCCCCCUUU